UUGUAUAGCCAUGUCACCCUGCAGCCCAAGACCGGUUACUCACUGAAGCUAAGCAGGGCUGAGCCUGGUCAGUACCUGGAUGGGAGACCACUAGGGAACACUAGGUUGCUGUUGGAA
rnacentral:rRNA from 1 species